UGCCAGGAAUCGCGGGGGGGAAACCCACGGAACCGGCGGGGAACGUUUGGGAUUUCGCGCGGGUUGCUGCGGUUGUGUGCGCUUUGCCUCGUCCCGGAGGGAUCUGCUGGAGGAGAGGAGCCCUGGAGGCGAUAUCGAGCUGGGAGGAAUUUAGGGAUGCACUGGGAGUCGCAGGGAGGGAAGCAGCACUGCUCAGGCACGGAGAAGGGGGAGGUGGCUUGUAGAGGGUGGAUUGGAGAUUCUCCCUGGUCCUGCACCGGAUAACUCCAUUCCCAAUCCCUGGAAGUGUCCCAAGCCAGGUUGGACGGGGCUUGGAGCAACCUGGGCGAGGGGAUGGUGGCCUUGCCCAUGGCAGGGGGUGGGACGGGAUGGUUUUAUGGAACAUUCCCACUCCAGUCAUUUUCUGAUUCCGUGAUAAUGGCACAGCUGGGAACAGAGGCCGGGCUCCGCUGGCGUCAUACCUACCCCCACAGUGCUUAGUCGUUUUUGGGGUAUUUUGUGCCGCCCUCUCCCGCUCGUUCUGUGCUCUCCUUUGGGAUUUGGGCUGGGAAAAGCAGCAGCGAGUUCUCCUCCUGCCUCUCCCGCUUUCCCACCACCUGCCAUCCAAUACAUCCCAAACUGCGGUUUCCUGGGGACUGCUCGUGUGUCCCAUAGCCUGUCCCGGAGCUGAGUAGCUUUGCCAGGGGCUGAGCAGCUCCGGCCUCCCUCCUUUUCCUGUCCGGGCUCAGCUUUCACUCUCGGGAUCAUCGCUUGGAAGCACAUUUCCUCACCAGGAGGGAAUCAUUCUCGUGAUCCUUCUUUAGUCCCGGCUGGGCGGCGCCUGGGGCGUCCCGCGGCGGCUGCGGCCACAGCGCGGCUUCUCCAGCUCAUCCCAUCCCGUGGAUCGCGGUGCCGGCUGCGCUUCCCGGUGCAUCAUUCCCGGGAAGGUCCCACCACUGGGACGCGGUGCCUGUUCCAGCCCGGUCCCAUCGCCGCCUUCCCCACCGAGUUCUCUUCGGUUUUUUGGCUGGGGCUCGCAACUUUUCGGCAACAGUGACCUCUGUCGGCAUCGCCACCGAGGCCACCGGCGUGGCUUCGCUGUCACCCGGCUGCAUCCUACGCCUCCAUCGCAGUUCCCACCUCUGGCACAAACGGGACACGGUUUUUUGGGACCGAUGCCGCCAUUCUAGCUGCUGCCGAAUCCCACGGCAGAGCCCCGGCGGCGUUUCGGGAAGCAGCGGUGCCGGGAGGCGGCUGUGAGCGCUGCUCAGAACGGGGCACCAGUUACCAAAAGGUGUCCCCGGGACAACCCCAGAGCCGGGAACCCGAAAAUCCCGGGUUUAAUGGGCAGCCAAACCUCCGUGACUCAUGUCAGCAGUGCCGCUGCCGCCGGUGACUAAUCCCGGGAGCGCUGUCUGCCGGGGCUCGGCUCCAUCCCUGUCCUAACGAGUGUUUGGCACGGUUAAAUACCAAUAAAAAAAUCCAGGGAAUCAGCAGGACCAUGGCUGUCCCUCUGGGAUUAGGACUGGAAGGGGGGAUCUUGUUCCCUUCCCAAUUAUUUCAGUCCCCACUUAAUGGUGGGAAACAAGUGCAGUCAGUACUUUGGGAUUUUUCCACCCAUUCUCAUGAAAACAUACCCAGUCCUGGAUGUUCCUUCUCCCUGUCUCCGGAGGAUGUGGGGAAGGAGCCUUGAAUCCGGUCACAAAUGCCAGGGCAUUUGGGAAAAGUGGAGCAGGUGAAGAUGAUGUGAAAAAAGCAGGAUCGUAGCAGUUUUGCGGGAAAGCCAACCCUGGAAACAGUGAGGAAGCACUGCAGGAGCUAUUUGGGAGCCAAAGAGGAUGGAUAAGGAUCCAGCAUUCCAUCACCAACACUGCUCCUGGCUCCUCUUCCCACAGCCAAGCCUGAGUGGAUGGAGCAGAAUCCACAAGCAGGGACAUGCAGCCGUUGGGAACACUCGGCAGCUGAGGCACUGGUGAGCUCCUCUUGCUUCACCCCCUGGGCUGGGCUGCCUUGGGUUGGGGCUUUUCUGUGGCAUUACUGCAUCGAUUUGGGUUGCAACAUCCCAAGGUGAGCGAGUUCAUGGGCUUAUAAAAACUCUUUCAAAACAGUCUUUGCAAGAGGAAUAAGUUCUCUUCUUUGCAGCAGCCACGAUUUGGGAGCUAAGCUGGGAAUCCCACUGAAUACUUCCCUAAAAGUGACAGUGCUGGGCAGUGCAUCCCCCAAAACCCCCAAACUCUCCCUGCCUCUUCCUUUUUAAAAGUUUCUUCAUCACCAUCAGGUCCAGGCCCAAACCCAACACUUCUGCCCCAAAACCCUUGUGCAAACCUGGUGCCCUAAAGCUUCCGGUCCUGAUUUCAAGGUUAUUUUUAAUUGAUUUAAAGGUUAUUUUUCAUUGAUUGAGGCCGCUGCUGCUGAUUUGCCUGGUCUAGGCCACCCCCCGCCUGCGCAGCCUUUUCUCCGUCUGAGUGAACGAAAUGCUCACCGCAGAGAGAGUUUCCAGAAAUGAUU